rnacentral:rRNA from 1 species
UACGGAGGGAGCUAGCGUUGUUCGGAAUCACUGGGCGUAAAGCGCACGUAGGCGGCUUUUUAAGUCAGGGGUGAAAUCCUGGAGCUCAACUCCAGAACUGCCUUCGAUACUGGGAAACUUGAGUCCGGGAGAGGUGAGUGGAACUGCGAGUGUAGAGGUGAAAUUCGUAGAUAUUCGCAAGAACACCAGUGGCGAAGGCGGCUCACUGGCCCGGUACUGACGCUGAGGUGCGAAAGCGUGGGGAGCAAACAGG